UCUUCUACCUCCUGCACUCCCCCAGAGUGGAAGAGAUCUUUUUUGUGUCACUGGCUGGCUUUGCUUUUUGGAAGAUGUCACACGGAAUGCAUUGUCAGCCAUGGGGUAGGAGAAAUAAGUGUGCAGUUGCUGAAAGGUCUCCUAGCAGAAGACACAUCUGGAACAUGAAGCAUGGUUUGGAAAGACUGGAUAAACCUCGAGACAUUGAUUGCCAAGCACAGAAGUUUUUCAUCCAUCACCAUACAGCUACUGGAAGAAUUUCCCCCUCCUACUUUAGGAGUGAUUUUGAGCAUUGACAUAUGACUUAUAAAAUGUUUUGGAUAAGAGCAAAAUAUGUCCUGCUAUUCUUCGGAUGCUUCAAAUGUUUCCACAGAUAUUAUGUAUUAAUUUGCAUACAGAGAAAGGCCAGAAAUAAUUUUCAUGUUGGAAUUAGUGUGCUUGUGUGCAUGCCCAUUUAAUUCAAAAUAUUAUAUUAAGCAAAACAGAAGCACUUUAAAGUUGAUUGUGGUAAUAUGUGACAAUUAAGGAAGGAAAUUUUUUAUCUUUCAUUGCUUCUGACAAGUGAUUUAAUGACAAAUUAUUUGCAUAACUUCUUCUUAGAUAUUGCAUUUUUCUUAAUCUAUGUUGUUAAAACUGCCAUGCUCUACAAUAACUUUGUUUCUUCACUUAAUGUAAUUACUAAAAAUUACCAAUUGAUCUGAUUGCUUAUGAUGGCUUUUAAGCAUAGACAAAUACAUUGUCUACAUCUGCAAAUAUUUCCUAGCUAUUUUCAGGGAUGUCUGCUGGUUAAGUAUUUACAAAUUGUUUUAAAGGACUAAGAAAUGGACAGGACAUAGUUCAUAAAACUGAAGUGUCAUUUGGAGUAUGGCACUGUACUUUGCUGAUGUUACUUCUCUGUGUCAACAAGAGUUGCUAUGAAUAAUGAUUUGGCUGGAGUCCUAUCCACAAUAGGAUAAACAUUAUAAAUAGAUACAGUGGUUUUUAAAGUAUCACUGUCUUUUUUUCUGCUUUAUUAUUAUUUUUUUUUCUGUUGAAAUAUAAGUAAUAUUCUUUACUGAGGCUCACAUCUCAAACUUUUUUAUUCUGUAAUUUUGUGAUGGACAGUGCUCUAGACUCCAUUGGGUAAAGAGUGUCACCACUCAAAGAUGUGUUAUCAGAAAUAUUAAUUUCAUCUUCCAACUAGUGAGAUGGAAUAAAAUGUAAUUAAACCAGGUCCUUUCUUGUACAACAGUGUGGAAACUCUCAUCUUCUUAGUCUUCAUAGUUUAGCUCUCCAUUUGCAGUCCCUUGGAGUGCGACCACUGCAGCAACCAGAGGGAGCUCUGCAGCCUGCUGGGGAAAUCUCUGUUCUUCAGAAAUUUGCUACCUCUGCUGUAUGGAGAUCUAUGCUCAGCACAGAGAAAUUACAGCUUCGGCUUUUGGCUUUUCUUCUACCAUCUAUCACAAGUUCUUGGGUGGUCCGGUUCAGUAAGUGCAUCCAUCUACCAAAUAACCAUUCUGGUAGAAACCAACUGCAAUGCUUGAAAAGAAUGUUCUCUUCCAAUGCAGACUGUUCAAAAAUCAGCAGCUUUAGUGUUUCCUCUGUUGCUUUUCUUCUGCUGGAAGAGCGUGUUGCAAUAAUAAAAGCUACAACAGAGGAUUUACACUAUACUCAUCUCUUGUACCUUAGCUGAGUUUUAGGAAGAUCCUGGGUCUUCGAUUGUGUUCACAGGCAUGGCUUUACUGGGGAGAGAUUAAGGAAAUGCCAUCACUCUAUGAGAACUUCCUAGAGCUGCUCAACCUCCCUCAUCACUGUGCAGAGAACUGCAGGGG